rnacentral:misc_RNA from 1 species
GAAAUGCGAAAAGUAAUGCGAAUUGCAGAAUUCAGCGAGUCAUCGAGUUUUUGAACGCACAUUGCGCCCGCCGGUAUUCCGGCGGGCAUGCCUGUCCGAGCGUCUACAACAAACCCUCGAGCCGUCCCUCCGUUAUUCUCGCGGAGGGACCACGCUCGGUCUUGGACCAAUCCAGAUUCCUAGGCGACUCGUCGCCGCGGGAGGUCUUU